rnacentral:rRNA from 1 species
UGAAUACGAGAUGCUACGGCAUCGAAGCAGUCUAUGUCAUACUUCCAAGAAAAGCUUGCACUGUCAUAAACAAAUAAUGCCUGUACCAUAACCGACACAGGUGGGUAGGUAGAGUAUACUAAGGGGCGCGAGAUAACUCUCUCUAAGGAACUCGGCAAGAUGACUCCGUAACUUCGGGAGAAGGAGUGCCUUAUUUUAUAAGGUUGCAAUAACAAGAUCCAAGCAACUUUUUACCAAAAACACAGGUCUCCGCUAAGUCGUAAGACGAUGUAUGGGGGCUGACGCCUGCCCAGUGCCAGAAGGUUAAAGAAGUUGGUUAGCAUUAGCGAAGCUGAUAACUGAAGCCCUGGUGAACGGCGGCCGUAACGAUAACGGUCCUAAGGUAGCGAAAUUCCUUGUCGGGUAAGUUCCGACCCGCACGAAGGGCGUAAUGAUUUGGAUACUGUCUCGGAGAGGGGCUCGGUGAAAUAGACUUGUCUGUGAAGAUGCGGACUACCUGCACCAGGACAGAAAGACCCUAUGAAGCUUUACUGUAACUUGAGAUUGAAAUUGGACUUUAUUUGCGCAGUAUAGGUGGGAGACGUUGAAAAUAUUCUUGCGGGAAUAUUGGAGUCAUCAGUGAGAUACCACUCUUGUAAUGUUAGAUUUCUAACUUUGUAUCAUUAUCUGGUCAAAGAACAGUCUCAGGCGGGCAGUUUGACUGGGGCGGUCGCCUCCCAAACGGUAACGGAGGCGCACAAAGGUUUCCUCUGAACGUGUAGAAAUCGUAUCUAGAGUGUAAAGGCAUAAGGAAGCUUGACUGUGAGACCUACAAGUCGAGCAGGGACGAAAGUCGGUCUUAGUGAUCUGACGGUGCUGAGUGGAAAGGCCGUCACUCAACGGAUAAAAGUUACUCUAGGAUAACAGGCUGAUCUCCCCCAAGAGUUCACAUCGACGGGGAGGUUUGGCACCUCGAUGUCGGCUCAUCGCAUCCUGGGGCGGUAGUACGUCCCAAGGGUUGGGCUGUUCGCCCAUGAAAGCGGUACGCGAGCUGGGUUCAGAACGUCGUGAGACAGUUCGGUCCAUAUCCGGUGUAGGCGUUAGAAUAUUGAGAGGAGCCUUCUUUAGUACGAGAGGACCGAGAAGGACAUACCUCUGGUGUACCAGUUAUCGUGCCAACGGUAAACGCUGGGUAGCUAUGUAUGGAGAGGAUAACCGCUGAAAGCAUCUAAGUGGGAAGCCCACCUCAAGAUAAG